UCCUUCGCGGUGUAAUGGUCAGCACACUCGACGUGUAUUCGAGAGGUCCGAGGUUCGAGUCCUGGUGAGGGCA
rnacentral:tRNA from 1 species